ACGAACGCUGGCGGCACGCUUAACACAUGCAAGUCGAACGAGAGAAGAGAAGCUUGCUUUUCUGAUCUAGUGGCGGACGGGUGAGUAACACGUGAGCAAUCUGCCUUUCAGAGGGGGAUACCGAUUGGAAACGAUCGUUAAUACCGCAUAAUAUAAUUGAACCGCAUGAUUUGAUUAUCAAAGAUUUAUCGCUGAAAGAUGAGCUCGCGUCUGAUUAGCUAGUUGGUAAGGUAACGGCUUACCAAGGCGACGAUCAGUAGCCGGACUGAGAGGUUGAUCGGCCACAUUGGGACUGAGACACGGCCCAGACUCCUACGGGAGGCAGCAGUGGGGAAUAUUGCACAAUGGAGGAAACUCUGAUGCAGCGAUGCCGCGUGAGGGAAGAAGGUUUUAGGAUUGUAAACCUCUGUCUUCAGGGACGAAAAAUGACGGUACCUGAGGAGGAAGCUCCGGCUAACUACGUGCCAGCAGCCGCGGUAAUACGUAGGGAGCGAGCGUUGUCCGGAAUUACUGGGUGUAAAGGGAGCGUAGGCGGGAUCGCAAGUCAGAUGUGAAAACUAUGGGCUUAACCCAUAAACUGCAUUUGAAACUGUGGUUCUUGAGUGAAGUAGAGGUAAGCGGAAUUCCUAGUGUAGCGGUGAAAUGCGUAGAUAUUAGGAGGAACAUCAGUGGCGAAGGCGGCUUACUGGGCUUUAACUGACGCUGAGGCUCGAAAGCGUGGGGAGCAAACAGGAUUAGAUACCCUGGUAGUCCACGCCGUAAACGAUGAUUACUAGGUGUGGGGGGACUGACCCCUUCCGUGCCGCAGCAAACGCAAUAAGUAAUCCACCUGGGGAGUACGACCGCAAGGUUGAAACUCAAAGGAAUUGACGGGGGCCCGCACAAGCAGUGGAGUAUGUGGAUUAAUUCGAAUCAACGCGAAGAACCUUACCAGGUCUUGACAUCGUAUGCAUAGCUCAGAGAUGAGUGAAAUCUCUUCGGAGACAUAUAGACAGGUGGUGCAUGGUUGUCGUCAGCUCGUGUCGUGAGAUGUUGGGUUAAGUCCCGCAACGAGCGCAACCCUUACUGUUAGUUGCUACGCAAGAGCACUCUAGCAGGACUGCCGUUGACAAAACGGAGGAAGGUGGGGAUGACGUCAAAUCAUCAUGCCCCUUAUGACCUGGGCCUCACACGUACUACAAUGGCUGUCAACAGAGGGAAGCAAAGCCGCGAGGUGGAGCAAACCCCUAAAAGCAGUCUUAGUUCGGAUUGUAGGCUGCAACCCGCCUACAUGAAGUCGGAAUUGCUAGUAAUCGCAGAUCAGCAUGCUGCGGUGAAUACGUUCCCGGGCCUUGUACACACCGCCCGUCACGCCAUGGGAGUCGGUAACACCCGAAGCCUGUAGUCUAACCGCAAGGAGGACGCAGUCGAAGGUGGGAUUGAUGACUGGGGUG
rnacentral:rRNA from 1 species